rnacentral:rRNA from 1 species
UACGAAGGGGGCUAGCGUUGUUCGGAAUCACUGGGCGUAAAGGGCGCGUAGGCGGCUUUGUAAGUCGGGGGUGAAAGCCUGUGGCUCAACCACAGAAUUGCCUUCGAUACUGCGAGGCUUGAGACCGGAAGAGGUUAGUGGAACUGCGAGUGUAGAGGUGAAAUCGUAGAUAUUCGCAAGAACACCAGUGGCGAAGGCGGCUGACUGGUCCGGAUCUGACGCUGAGGCGCGAAAGCGUGGGGAGCAA